AUCGCAACGAUCGCGACCCCAGGUCAGGC
rnacentral:rRNA from 2 species